rnacentral:lncRNA from 1 species
CACAAACUCUUUUAGCAAAUUAAAAGAUCUUCUUUUCCAUUUUCAAAUCACUUCCUUCUCUUUUCCUUUAGAAGAUCCAACUCCUUACUCCACUUGUCCUUCAAAAGUAAAGAAAAUCAUAAUUUUCCCUUAUUUUUGCAUACAAUGAGACAAAUUAUAGUUUCCUCAAUAUGGUAUUAACUUACGCUUACUCUUUCUCUUUCUUACCUUAAAAUCAUGAUUUACCUAAACUUUUUCCUUGAAAAUCUUCUUGCUCUUGUUUUUCUUUUUUCAAUCUUAAAAUUGCUAUGGUGUUUAUGUGAAGAGAAAACUUGGUUUUAUAUAAAAACUUGAUGGGAUUUUGUGAUUGGAAGAUGAUAGAAAUGGAGGAUAUGGGAGAUGGGGUUUUCGGCCAAUUUGAUUGAAGAAUGGAGAAGAUAAGAUCUUUUCUCUUCUUGUGGCCCUUAUGUCUCAAAUGGGUGGCUUUAUGGAAAAAUUAGGAGUCUACGAUUAUGGGAUAUCACAAGGAAGAGGUUGUGUAGGUAGAGGGUUUGUCUUUAAGCUAAUAAACAUCUACUCAUAUCUAAUUUGUGUAUAUCAAUAUAUACCAUAAUUUUGUCAUGAUAACUUCUCAAAUAAGUUGUUGUUUUAUCUUUUAGUUCAUAAAUGUCCACUCAUACCAAUAUUAAGUACCUUUGUU